UUAUAUGGGAUAAAUCACACGAACAUUACAGUGAUAAAUUUCGUAAAGCGAAUGAAUGGGUAGCUGUUUGUAAAAAAAUAUUUCAAGAUUACGAGGAGUUUGAGGACCAAAAAAAGAACAAAAUUGGUAACGAGGUUGUGAAAAAAUGGAGAAGCGUGAAGGACAACUUUUUUCGAUACGUAAAAAAAAUAAAAGAAAACAGUUCGUCUGGAUCAGGGGCAAAACAAUUGAAGAAAUAUCAUUAUUACAAUCAGUUGCUGUUUUUGAUGAAA